rnacentral:rRNA from 1 species
ACAUUCACUUUAAAUAGGGCACCGUCUAAAUCCGUUGAGGCAACACCGUAUGAAUUAUGGUUUGGGAAGAAAUCUAAGCUGUCGUUUCUAAAAGUUUGGGGAUGCGAUGCUUAUGUCAAGAAACUUCAACCUGAAAAGCUCGAACCCAAGUCGGAAAAAUGCGUCUUCAUAGGAUACCCUAAGGAAACCAUUGGGUAUACCUUCUACCUUAGAUCCGAAGGCAAGAUCUUUGUUGCCAAGAAUGGAUCCUUUCUGGAAAAAGAGUUUCUCUCGAAAGGAGUAAGUGGGAGGAAAGUAGAACUCGAUGAAGUACUACCUCUUGAACCGGAAAGUAGUGCAGCUCAGGAAAAUGUUCCUGUGGUGCCUACACCGACUGGAGAGGAAAUUAAU